CAGAUUUUACAGAAAUUAUCCCAAAAUCCUGAUGCCAAAGGAGCUUUGGAGCAGCAAAGAAAAGCAGGCAGAAAUAUCAACAGCAUGUGGAGCACACUGAAAAGAGCAGGUUUCAUCCUGUGGCAGUUCAAGGCAUGUUUCCUGAAAUGGAAAUUCAAAAAGAAAAAAAAAAAGGAAUAAGCCAAAAAAAACCCACCAACAAAACCAAGAGGAAAAGCAGCAAAAGGUGCCAAGAUCCCCCAGGAAGUGCCAGAAAAAGUCAUCCUCAAGAUGAAUGUCAUGGCCUUGAGGGGUCCUGGAUUCCCUCCACAUCCCUCCUGGAAUGGCUUGAACCAAGUUUGGACUUUCUCAGCAGCACCUCCUCUUCCAGAGGACCAAGCAAACCCAACCAACUUCUUGUCCAGAAGACAAAAAGCUUCUUUUAUAUAGAGAGAGAGACAUGAAAAUACACCAAAUGGGCUUUAAAACCUGCAAGUUUCAGGUGCGUUUCCAAGAAGAAUUCAAGUGUUUUGAACAAGAAUCAGGCCAUUUUUCAAAGCCUUUUCCUCAAGUUUUACUCGAAACUGAAGUUUCUGACAAAAUUUCUCCUGCUAUGAGGUUGUGUGAAAAAACCAGCAGCUUUAACACAGGCAAAUCCAUGUGAAAAAAACCUAAGUUUUGGGGCCCUUACACGUCACCGACCGCUCGAGGUUCGACUGCAGUUGGCAAAGUUGACUUUAAACCUCAAUGAUGACCUUUCUGAAGGCUCCAUUUCUCCUGAUAUCCACCUAAAAACCCCCCCAGGGCCUCCCUGGGAACGGUUGGCACCACAAGAUAGCAACAGGCAGCCCCAAAACCGGCUGGCUUUUGGGUGGAGAUGAAAGAAAACCCAGC